CGCGAGUACUGGUCCGGCUGGGUCUUUCCUUCUGGGGAACCCCAUGGCCUUCACUGGCUGUGGGGGGAACCAGGACUUUUACUGUGAAAAAAUUAGAGUGUUCAAAGCAGGCCUUUGCUCGAAUACAUUAGCAUGGAAUAAUAGAAUAGGACGUGCGGUUCUAUUUUGUUGGUUUCUAGGACCGCCGUAAUGAUUAAUAGGGAUAGUCGGGGGCGUCAGUAUUCAGCCGUCAGAGGUGAAAUUCUUGGAUUUGCUGAAGACUAACUACUGCGAAAGCAUUCGCCAAGGAUGUUUUCAUUAAUCAGGGAACGAAAGUUAGGGGAUCGAAGACGAUCAGAUACCGUCGUAGUCUUAACCAUAAACUAUGCCGACUAGGGAUCGGACGGUGUUUCUAUGAUGACCCGUUCGGCACCUUACGAGAAAUCAAAGUUUUUGGGUUCUGGGGGGAGUAUGGUCGCAAGGCUGAAACUUAAAGAAAUUGACGGAAGGGCACCACAAGGCGUGGAGCCUGCGGCCUAAUUUGACUCAACACGGGGAAACUCACCAGGUCCAGACAAAAUAAGGAUUGACAGAUUGAGAGCUCUUUCUUGAUCUUUUGGAUGGUGGUGCAUGGCCGUUCUUAGUUGGUGGAGUGAUUUGUCUGCUUAAUUGCGAUAACGAACGAGACCUCGGCCCUUAAAUAGCCCGGUCCGCGUCUGCGGGCCGCUGGCUUCUUAGGGGGACUAUCGG
rnacentral:rRNA from 1 species